CAGCUACACAUGCAGUCGAGCGGAUGAAGGGAGCUUGCUCCUGGAUUCAGCGGCGGACGGGUGAGUAAUGCCUAGGAAUCUGCCUGGUAGUGGGGGAUAACGUCCGGAAACGGGCGCUAAUACCGCAUACGUCCUGAGGGAGAAAGUGGGGGAUCUUCGGACCUCACGCUAUCAGAUGAGCCUAGGUCGGAUUAGCUAGUUGGUGGGGUAAAGGCCUACCAAGGCGACGAUCCGUAACUGGUCUGAGAGGAUGAUCAGUCACACUGGAACUGAGACACGGUCCAGACUCCUACGGGAGGCAGCAGUGGGGAAUAUUGGACAAUGGGCGAAAGCCUGAUCCAGCCAUGCCGCGUGUGUGAAGAAGGUCUUCGGAUUGUAAAGCACUUUAAGUUGGGAGGAAGGGCAGUAAGUUAAUACCUUGCUGUUUUGACGUUACCAACAGAAUAAGCACCGGCUAACUUCGUGCCAGCAGCCGCGGUAAUACGAAGGGUGCAAGCGUUAAUCGGAAUUACUGGGCGUAAAGCGCGCGUAGGUGGUUCAGCAAGUUGGAUGUGAAAUCCCCGGGCUCAACCUGGGAACUGCAUCCAAAACUACUGAGCUAGAGUACGGUAGAGGGUGGUGGAAUUUCUUGUGUAGCGGUGAAAUGCGUAGAUAUAGGAAGAAGAACCCCGGGGGGAAAAGACAACCC
rnacentral:rRNA from 1 species